CUACAAAUGAAUUGACGGGACCCGCACAAGCGGUGGAUGAUGUGGUUUAAUUCGAUGCAACGCGAAAAACCUUACCCACCUUUGACAUGUACGGAAUCCUUUAGAGAUGAAGGAGUGCUCGAAAGAGAGCCGUAACACAGGUGCUGCAUGGCUGUCGUCAGCUCGUGUCGUGAGAUGUUGGGUUAAGUCCCGCAACGAGCGCAACCCUUGCCAUUAGUUGCUACAUUUAGUUGAGCACUCUAAUGGGACUGCCGGUGACAAACCGGAGGAAGGUGGGGAUGACGUCAAGUCCUCAUGGCCCUUAUAGGUGGGGCUACACACGUCAUACAAUGGCUGGUACAAAGGGUUGCCAACCCGCGAGGGGGAGCUAAUCCCAUAAAGCCAGUCGUAGUCCGGAUCGCAGUCUGCAACUCGACUGCGUGAAGUCGGAAUCGCUAGUAAUCGUGGAUCAGAAUGUCACGGUGAAUACGUUCCCGGGUCUU
rnacentral:rRNA from 1 species